rnacentral:rRNA from 1 species
AGUGAACGCUGGCGGUAGGCAUAAAACAUAAAAGUAGAACGGAAGAACAAUAAGAGAUUGAUAUUAAGGAUAGAGAGAAAAGGAAGGGAGAGGAAUGAAAAAAAAAAUACAAAUACGUGGGGGAUAAAGUAGGGAAACUUACGCUAAUACCGCAUACGACCUACGGGUGAAAGCAGGGGAUCUUCGGACCUUGCGCGAUUGAAUGAGCCGAUGUCGGAUUAGCUAGUUGGCGGGGUAAAGGCCCACCAAGGCGACGAUCCGUAGCUGGUCUGAGAGGAUGAUCAGCCACACUGGAACUGAGACACGGUCCAGACUCCUACGGGAGGCAGCAGUGGGGAAUAUUGGACAAUGGGCGCAAGCCUGAUCCAGCCAUACCGCGUGGGUGAAGAAGGCCUUCGGGUUGUAAAGCCCUUUUGUUGGGAAAGAAAAGCAGCAGGUUAAUACCCCGCUGUUCUGACGGUACCCAAAGAAUAAGCACCGGCUAACUUCGUG